UACGGGGGGGGGCAAGCGUUGUUCGGAAUUACUGGGCGUAAAGGGCUCGUAGGUGGCCAACUAAGUCAGACGUGAAAUCCCCAGGCUUAACCUGGGAACUGCGUCUGAUACUGGAUGGCUUGAAUUCGGGAGAGGGAUGCAGAAUUCCAGGUGUAGCGGUGAAAUGCGUAGAUAUCUGGAGGAAUACCGGUGGCGAAGGCGGCAUCCUGGACCGAGAUUGACACUGAUGAGCGAAAGCUAGGGGAGCAAACGGG
rnacentral:rRNA from 1 species